GACGAACGCUGGCGGCGUGCCUAAUACAUGCAAGUAGAACGCUGAAGAGAGGAGCUUGCUCUUCUUGGCUGAGUUGCGAACGGGUGAGUAACGCGUAGGUAACCUGCCUUGUAGCGGGGGAUAACUAUUGGAAACGAUAGCUAAUACCGCAUAACAAUGGAUGACACAUGUCAUUUAUUUGAAAGGGGCAAUUGCUCCACUACAAGAUGGACCUGCGUUGUAUUAGCUAGUAGGUGAGGUAAUGGCUCACCUAGGCGACGAUACAUAGCCGACCUGAGAGGGUGAUCGGCCACACUGGGACUGAGACACGGCCCAGACUCCUACGGGAGGCAGCAGUAGGGAAUCUUCGGCAAUGGGGGCAACCCUGACCGAGCAACGCCGCGGGAGUGAAGAAGGUUUUCGGAUCGUAAAGCUCUGUUGUAAGUCAAGAACGGGUGUGAGAGUGGAAAGUUCACACUGUGACGGUAGCUUACCAGAAAGGGACGGCUAACUACGUG
rnacentral:rRNA from 1 species